GACGAACGCUGGCGGCGUGCUUAACACAUGCAAGUCGAACGAAGAGCGAUGGAAGCUUGCUUCUAUCAAUCUUAGUGGCGAACGGGUGAGUAACGCGUAAUCAACCUGCCCUUCAGAGGGGGACAACAGUUGGAGACGACUGCUAAUACCGCAUACGAUCUAAUCUCGGCAUCGAGGAUAGAUGAAAGGUGGCCUCUACAUGUAAGCUAUCACUGAAGGAGGGGAUUGCGUCUGAUUAGCUAGUUGGAGGGGUAACGGCCCACCAAGGCGAUGAUCAGUAGCCGGUCUGAGAGGAUGAACGGCCACAUUGGGACUGAGACACGGCCCAGACUCCUACGGGAGGCAGCAGUGGGGAAUCUUCCGCAAUGGACGAAAGUCUGACGGAGCAACGCCGCGUGAGUGAUGACGGCCUUCGGGUUGUAAAGCUUUGUUAAUCGGGACGAAAGGCCUUCUUGCGAAUAGUGAGAAGGAUUGACGGUACCGGAAUAGAAAGCCACGGCUAACUACGUG
rnacentral:rRNA from 1 species